rnacentral:rRNA from 1 species
CCCUUGUCAUUAGUUGCUACGAAAGGGCACUCUAAUGAGACUGCCGGUGACAAACCGGAGGAAGGUGGGGAUGACGUCAAGUCCUCAUGGCCCUUAUGGGUAGGGCUUCACACGUCAUACAAUGGUCGGUACAGAGGGUUGCCAAGCCGCGAGGUGGAGCCAAUCCCAGAAAACCGAUCGUAGUCCGGAUCGCAGUCUGCAACUCGACUGCGUGAAGUCGGAAUCGCUAGUAAUCGCGGAUCAGAAUGCCGCGGUGAAUACGUUCCCGGGUCUUGUACACACCGCCCGUCACACCAUGGGAGUGGGUUCUACCAGAAGUAGCUAGUCUAACCGCAAGGAGGACGGUCACCACGGUAGGAUUCAUGACUGGGGUGAAGUCGUAACAAGGUAGCCGUAAAGGG